UAACUUACCUGGACGGGGUCAAUGGGUGAUCAAUAAGACUCAUGGCCUAGGUUGGUGACUUUUAUUGCACUUUGGAGGGGUGCCCGCUUAAGGUCGAUCAAAGUGGUUAAGCCUACGUCAUAAUUUGUUGCCGCGGAAGCCUGCGUUCGCGCGGUUAAUUA
rfam:Nicotiana sylvestris Nsyl_contig6211, whole genome shotgun sequence.